CAACCCUCGUACCACGGUUCGCCGCGGGACGGUGUUGGGGAUCGGCCGCCCGUCACUGGGAGGCCGGCCCCGAAAUAGAGUGGCGACCACGCCGUGUGCUCCUCUGCGUAGUAGUAAAAUCACCUCGCAGGCGGACAGCGGUGCGGCCUGCCGUAAAACCCCCAACUCUUUCAAU
rnacentral:misc_RNA from 1 species